GUACUAACGUCACAUUGUCAUUGUCGGAUUCUUCAUUUUCGCUUAAAGUGCACAUACAACUAUUUUUAGUUUUUUAUUCUCAAAUAGAUUUUGGAUAAAUAAUACAAAUGCCGUUUACAGAAUUUGAAUAACUUUUUUCGUUUUUGAGUUAUCUUUCGGCAAAUUUGCGAAUAAAACCUGAAUUUCAACGUUUUGUAAAAAAUGUCGAGAGCUCUAAUCCGUGGCAUGGGACUUACGUGUGACGUCAUUUAAGGAACACAGACUGACUUCCAAUACAACUUACACUGUUUAUGCAUGUAAACAAACACAAAAAUGCCAGAUCGAUGUGUAGUUUUUGGUUGUUCUAACGUAGCCAGCUCGGAGAAAGGCAUUUCACUUCAUCGCAUACCAUUUUUUAACGACGAAAGAAGCGAAGCUAAGCGUAGAAGAAAGCGAUGGGUCAACUUUGUGAAAGCUACUCGCGAUAAGUGGGUCCCUACAAAGAAUUCCGCAGUUUGCUCGGAACACUUCACAAAAUAUUUGUUUUCUUGGCAAUUCGGCUCGCUUUCUGAAUCAGAAAGUAAUUUUGCACCUCGACUCAUUCGAGACGAAUUCGGAAUCGUUGCCUACCCAGGCAUUUAUCCUCGAAAAGAUGACAAUGAACUUACAACAAGAGAUCGCAGAAUGAUGAAAAGAAAGUGGAUGUCUGGUUAUAAAAGAGAGGUUGAAUCAGAAAAUAUUCCCAGUACAAGUAGCGAACCUCAAGAGCAAGUAGAAGAAACAACUUGCGAUGAGCCUGUAUUAUCAGAAUGAUCAGCUACUCUUUUCCUGGGAUGUUCUGCAGGCAUAUCCUUGUUGUAACUCACUUCGAAAGCAAUUUGGAAAGGGAUAAUCAAGAGAUUAAUGGAGUUCCCCAGGUUAAAGUGCAUUAUUCAAAAUUUAUAAAUGGUGAAGCUGUUGUAAGAAAUGUGAAAGUUGCUCAGGAUUUUGGGUAUGUUGUAGAUAUAUAUCAAGUGUUGUGCUCUGCACUCAUUGAUGAGGAAACAUUGAGAAAAGCCAAAGCUGAAGUAUCACCUGUCCAAGAAAAA